rnacentral:rRNA from 1 species
UACGUAGGGUGCGAGCGUUAAUCGGAAUUACUGGGCGUAAAGCGUGCGCAGGCGGUUCGUUGUGUCGGCGGUGAAAGCCCCGGGCUUAACCUGGGAAUGGCCGUCGAAACUGGCGAACUGGAGUGUGGCAGAGGGGGGUGGAAUUCCGCGUGUAGCAGUGAAAUGCGUAGAUAUGCGGAGGAACACCGAUGGCGAAGGCAAUCCCCUGGACCUGUACUGACGCUCAUGCACGAAAGCGUGGGGGAGCAAACAGG